GAUGAACGCUGGCGGCGUGCCUAAUACAUGCAAGUCGAGCGAACAGACGAGGGGCUUGCUCCUCUGACGUUAGCGGCGGACGGGUGAGUAACACGUGGAUAACCUACCUAUAAGACUGGGAUAACUUCGGGAAACCGGAGCUAAUACCGGAUAAUAUAUUGAACCGCAUGGUUCAAUAGUGAAAGACGGUUUUGCUGUCACUUAUAGAUGGAUCCGCGCCGCAUUAGCUAGUUGGUAAGGUAACGGCUUACCAAGGCGACGAUGCGUAGCCGACCUGAGAGGGUGAUCGGCCACACUGGAACUGAGACACGGUCCAGACUCCUACGGGAGGCAGCAGUAGGGAAUCUUCCGCAAUGGGCGAAAGCCUGACGGAGCAACGCCGCGUGAGUGAUGAAGGUCUUCGGAUCGUAAAACUCUGUUAUUAGGGAAGAACAAAUGUGUAAGUAACUAUGCACGUCUUGACGGUACCUGAUCAGAAAGCCACGGCUAACUACGUG
rnacentral:rRNA from 1 species